rnacentral:lncRNA from 1 species
CAACUAAAAAUACGAAAUCAACACAAUCAGACCUUAUUAUCGCUACAAGGAAUGAUAUGUAAAAAAUUAUCCCUAAAAAUCAACACAAUCAUUCAACCAAUCAAUAUCCCUAAAAAUUAUCCAUUCAAUAACCAACAAAACAUACAAUUCAUACAAUUCAUGUUAUUCAAAACAAAACUAAACCAAAAGAUAAAAGAAGAGGAACCUAUUUGUUGUUGUCAGUCACGCUAUUCGUCCCACUUUUAGUCGGACUUUGAGUCGCUUUUUUGCCAACAUUUUCGGCAUUUGAAUCUCUUGUAGUAGGCGUGGCGAUGUUGUCGCGUCCUUGGCUCGACUGACCCUAAUGUAAAAAAAAAUUGAAAUUACAAAGAAAAUAUGAAUAUUGAUUUUUAUAUAAAUGCUAAUUACCUCAAUCGUCUCUCGACGUAAGUCUUCCCUUAGUUCCUUUAGUAUAUCCGGCAACUGUUUCCUAAUGGCCUCUUGAACUGCCCGAUCAAAGUCUUCUUUACUUUUUUGUUGUUGAAUUUCUAUAUAAUUCGUCGUUGUGUUCUGUGAAGUCGCCAUAUUAUCAGGAAUUUAACGUCGCCGAGAUUAGGGAUUUAACGUCGCCGAGAUUAGGGAUUUAACGUCGCCGUUGCCGGAAGAAUUCGACGUGAGAAAGAAAUAUCUGCCGGAAAAAAUAUCCACCUUUGAGUUUCCUUUUACAAGUGGAAUGAAGAACGAGUAUGAGUUUAGUACCAACACCUGCGAAUUUGGAAUAAACUAUAUCAAAUUAGCAAAUAAUUAAAUUAAUUGUUUCAAGUUCCACAUUAAUAUGAGGUGGGGUGAGUUCAGAGAAGGAGAGGGAUUUGCUUAUUUCAGAUCAACUACAUAUUUAAGAAAGUUAACCUAGUAGUUAUUCACAAUAUUACAAUUUAUUAGUUUAUUAUUGUAUUUUUUACUAAAUUAAUACUGAAUUUCAGUACUCUUAGAAAUAUUCACAAUAUUCACAAUUUCACAAUAUUUCAGUACUCUUAGAAAUAAGGGUAGCAAUUCAGUAUUGUCACUCCGGAAGCUCCACAGUAUGGUUCUAGAAGGUAUCAAACUUCAUGUCUUCACAUUUCCUUGUGUUCUUAAAACAUGUGGAAGUCUAAAAUUUCAAAGCAUGGGGAAUCAAUUUCACUCCACUGUGAUGAAAUCUGGGUGCGAAUCUGAGCCUCUUGUUGGAUCAGCACUCAUUGAUAUGUACUCAAAGUGUGGUUCGAUUGGCGAAGCAAAAAAGCUUUAUGAUGGAUAUAGAGGAACUGGUUUCCAGUUGCUAGCCGUUUCAAACUCAAUGAUCUCUGGUUUUUCCAGUAAUAACCACAACAUUCCUGCACUUAAUCUUCUCUCCAAAAUACACAGAUCAGGAUUAGUUCUUGAUGAAUUCACUCUUUCCAGUGGUUUGAAGGUUUGCAGUAAAUUGCAGAAUUGGAAUCCAAAUGCAUGGUAUAAUUGUGGUGUAUGGGUAUCAUCUUGACCAUAUUGUAGGGAGUGUUCUUGUAGACCUAUACUUGAAUUGUGGAAGCUUCAACAAGGCCAUGGCGAUUUUUACAGGUCUUCCUCAUAAAGAUGUAGUCACUUGGUGUGGAUUCAUCAGUGGUUGUGUUCAGUAUGGAUUGAAUCAUUUAGCAUUCUAUCUAUUCAAAUUAAGUUAUGCUCGAAUUGGGUAUCAAACCAGAUCACUUUGUUUUAUCAAGUGUUCUAAAAUCGUGCUCUAAUCUAGCAGGGAGUCCUCAUUCCCACGGAAAGCAAAUUCAUGGGUACACAGUUAAAAAAGGUUUUGAAAUAGAAUCUGCAAUGACAACAUCUCUGAUUGAUAUGUACUCAAAAUGUGGCGAAAUUGACAGCAGUCUAACUUUGUUUCGAGCUGCGAAUGGUGUGCUCGACACACUUUGCUGGACAGCCAUAAUUGCAGGGUGUGGACAAAAUGGAAAGGAGAAAGAAGCAAUUGGAUAUUUUGGGGAAAUGUUAAGCUCAGGUGUGCAAGACAGGAAGUAAACGGUGAAGGAACUCUUACCUGGAAGUUGCCGGAAUGGACUGGAGGUAUCGCCCGCUGCUCGCCGGAUGGAAGUAUUUCCCUCACCGCAGCUCGCCAGAUGGAAGUAUCACCCUCACCGGACAGGUCGCUCGUCAGAAGUUGGAAUCGUCGUUGGUCAGAAAUCAGAAACGGGAGUGGGAGAAAAUCACAAACGGGAGUGGGAGAAAAAUUGAUGAGGGGAACUCGUUUGCCGUUGGGAGGGAAUGGGGGGGGG